rnacentral:tRNA from 1 species
GCCCGCAUAGCUCAGUUGGUAGAGCCUCAGACUUUUAAUCUGAGGGUCCAGGGUUCCAGUUGCUGUUCGGGCA